UGGUUGCGUCAGACUGGUCUUAGAUGUUCCAGUCCCAGUCCUUAGUUUGUUAAGUAACUUGAAAAUGCAGGCAUCUGACUCUUUCAGCCACUUCGUUGUGUGGACGGAGCGCUGCAUGUCAGUGCUUGAGCUUUUGCCUUUAACAGAACAGGAUCAUCCUUGUUCCUGUUAAAGCAUGCUCGUGAUCUGGACUCUGUGACCCAAGCAGGACUGAGGGACACAUCUGGUAAGGCAAUGCUGAUGGUAAGAAGCUGAAUGGUCUUCAUCCCCUUGCCACCGUCCCAGGAUUUGAAAGAGUGACAUAGUAUUUUAUCCCUUUACAAGAUUAGGGAUGCAGAAGUUGUGGGAUUUGCCUCUCACACUGAGGUGCUGCUGGCUGGUUCACUGCGUGGUGGAGGGUGUCCAUAAGAGCUGAUUUAACCUGAGAAAAAAAAAAGUGUGUAUCCUUUCUCAGGAGAUCCACAGCAGGGCUGAAGAAUUGCAAAUGUUGCAUCCGUUUCCUCCUGUCAUCUGCUCCCACGUGACUGCAGUGCCCGUGCUGUGCUCUUAGCUCACCCUGCAAAUGGUCCUUGUGAUGGAAGUUAUUACAGAGCUGGUACAGAGGACUUCACGUUUGUUGGCAGUAUCCUUGCUUGCAUUCCACUGGCACCAGCUGCUCUACACACAGGAACCCAAGGUGGCAAAUGCUCUUACAGUCUCUUUCAAUUUUCAGGUGAAGGUCUAUAUUGCAUUAACCUCUUCUGUUUUGGGGGGAAAUGGUAAAGCUUUUAUUUAUUUAUUUUUAAGAAAAACAUGUUAAACCCAAGUGGGAGAAACAACUGCAUUGCGUACUGUGGUUGGGAGCGCAGGGCAUUUGCGUUCCAUCUGAUCUUGAGCUUCCACUCCCUGCAGUUACUAAAUGUGGUAGCUGUUGGGAUGAGCAUAGACUCAGAGAUGGGCAGGACUAGUUUGCCAUGCCAAAUGUUUUUCUGUUGCCCUCAUCCUAUUUUCUAGAACCAAAGAUUUUACUGUGAUAAAGAUGACAUCUUAAAGCACUGCAGGAGAUAAGAGGAUGUAACUGCACUUGAUCUGAACUUGGAUUAGGUAUGUCUCUGAUCUGUAUCCAUCUUGAAGCUUGCUAGUGAAUAACCACGCAUAUGAACAAUGAAAAUAUGACCACCUUAUUCUGUAAAUACAAAAAAGAAAGGAACAGCUUUGAAAAUCCAGCCAUCUUUCAAGGUCUCUGAAAGCAUAUAGACCCUGAGUCAUCACAGUGAAAUUCAACAGGCAUGUUCUUAUUAGUGGACUGAGAAUAUAGAUGUGGUUGUAUAUGUGGAAACCUGUAUUUAUAUGUGGAAAUUUGUGUAUUUUUCCAGUAGUCUUCAUUAAUGUAAUAAACAAUGCUCUCU